GACGAACGCUGGCGGCGUGCUUAACACUUGCAAGUCGAACGGUGAAGCGAGUGCUUGCACUCGUGGAUCAGUGGCGAACGGGUGAGUAACACGUGAGUAACCUGCCCAUCACUCUGGGAUAAGCACUGGAAACGGUGUCUAAUACUGGAUACGACCAACCCUUGCAUGGGGUGUUGGUGGAAAGAUUUAUCGGUGAUGGAUGGACUCGCGGCCUAUCAGCUUGUUGGCGGGGUAAUGGCCCACCAAGGCGACGACGGGUAGCCGGCCUGAGAGGGUGACCGGCCACACUGGGACUGAGACACGGCCCAGACUCCUACGGGAGGCAGCAGUGGGGAAUAUUGCACAAUGGGCGAAAGCCUGAUGCAGCGACGCCGCGUGAGGGAUGACGGCCUUCGGGUUGUAAACCUCUUUCAGCAGGGAAGAAGCGAAAGUGACGGUACCUGCAGAAGAAGCACCGGCUAACUACGUG
rnacentral:rRNA from 1 species